rnacentral:rRNA from 1 species
ACUCAAAGGAAUUGACGGGGACCCGCACAAGCGGUGGAGCAUGUGGUUCAAUUCGACGCAACGCGAAAAACCUUACCUGGGUUUGACAUGUCGGUGGUAGGAAACCGAAAGGGGCCCGACCCCGCAAGGGGAGCCGACACAGGUGCUGCAUGGCUGUCGUCAGCUCGUGUCGUGAGAUGUUGGGUUAAGUCCCGCAACGAGCGCAACCCUCGCCCCUAGUUGCCAACGGAUCAUGCCGGGAACUCUAGGGGGACUGCCCCGGUUAACGGGGAGGAAGGUGGGGAUGACGUCAAGUCAUCAUGGCCUUUAUGUCCAGGGCUACACACGUGCUACAAUGGCCGGUACAAAGGGUCGCAAACGCGCGAGCGGGAGCUAAUCCCAAAAAGCCGGUCCCAGUUGGGAUCGCAGUCUGCAACUCGACUGCGUGAACGCGGAAUCGCUAGUAAUCGCGAAUCAGCAGGUCGCGGUGAAUACGUUCCCGGGUCCUGCACACACCGCCCGU